rnacentral:lncRNA from 1 species
UAUCUGGUAACUUCUCUCUCAAAACUACAUCUCCCUGUACAUUCAGUAACAGCUGUUUUCCCCUUGUGCUUUCACUCUAGAGAUUAUAAUAGGUUCCAGCUGUUGCUAAUCUCUGCGUGCUUCACCAUGUUUUUGUACUUCCUUAAUUCUUCCCACUCUUUUUAAAUAAUGCCUAAUCAUUUCUUAAGUUACCUGUUUGAGGCUACCAUUUUCUAUCAGAAGGCCAGCAAAUAGAGAAGGUCUCACGGAGAUAUGAGAAGCCAUCAUUUAAUUUCCUUCAAAAUGCAAAUCGCUGGUGAAGACAGCCAUCAAAUCAUGGACUAACUUUUGAAUUCAGGCAACCACUAUUUCACUCUUCGAAUCUAUGAAAUUGACCAUUUUUGAUAUCUCAUGUAGUCAAAUGAGGAAACAUCCUACCUGAUGGAGAGAACUGCGUGUGACCCAGAGAUCCUGGAUUUUAUUCAUUUGUUGAGACUUUGAAUCAUCUAUGGGGAGGAGCUGAAUAUGUUCUACACGUGGAAAAAAAUGGUAUGCACAGAUACUUGAAAUGCCAGAAGAAUGGCCUGUAACAGGGCUUCAAUAUGCAUUUCCUCCUCCUUCCUUCUAGUAAGAGUCCUCAAGACUGCCCUGCCAGAAACUAUACUUUUCAGUUUCUCCUGUCAUGAUGUAGCCAUGUGAUCAAAUUCUAGUAGAUAGGAUGUGAGCAAAAGUGAUAUAUGCAUGACUCUUCAAUCACUCUUGUUGCCUUCUACUAAUUUUCCUGUCUUCUUUUGGCCUCAAAAGUUUUACGGUGGUAUUGAGCCCAUUUUAAUCAGACAGAUGAGGACAACAACCUAAGGAAUGGCAGAUAGCUGAAACCUCAGUUGCUGGACAACAUCAUGGACCAGGGUUACCCUAAGCACUGAUUUACCUAUUCGGUAGGAAUUUUUCCUCCGAGUAUUUUUUAAAUGUUUCCUUUGUUAUAUAUUAUUAAGUAAUUGAAUCAGUACCUUGAUACAGGUCAGGACUUUUCUCAAUCAUGCCAACAUGGGUCAAGCAUUAAAGCUUUGAGAAUGCAAAGGAGGCAAAACCUUCAUGUGGUGUCUUGAAUAACUGAUGGAGUACAAUUGGAAUGUUCAUAAUACAAAGAGAUGAUGAACACUUGAGGUGAUGAAUACCCCACUCACCCUUAUGUGAUUAUUAGACAUUAUAUGCUUGUAUCAAAAUUAUAUACCUGCUAUGUGCCCAUAAAAAUUAAAAAUAAAAGUAAAAAACUUUUUAAAAGUCUGCUUCACUGUAUUGCUCUCAUUCCCAUGUAUUUUUAGGAGAGUAUUAUUUUGUCCCCAGGAAACUGCUUAUUGCUAUAUAAGACUUCUAGU